rnacentral:tRNA from 2 species
GGACCCGUGGCUCAGCCAGGAUAGAGCGUCGGCCCUCUAAGCCGAAUGUCGGGGGUUCAAAUCCCCCCGGGUCCGCCA